rnacentral:rRNA from 15 species
GGAUGAACGCUGGCGGCGUGCCUAAUACAUGCAAGUCGAGCGAACAGACAAGGAGCUUGCUCCUUUGACGUUAGCGGCGGACGGGUGAGUAACACGUGGGUAACCUACCUAUAAGACUGGGAUAACUUCGGGAAACCGGAGCUAAUACCGGAUAAUAUUUCGAACCGCAUGGUUCGAUAGUGAAAGAUGGUUUUGCUAUCACUUAUAGAUGGACCCGCGCCGUAUUAGCUAGUUGGUAAGGUAACGGCUUACCAAGGCGACGAUACGUAGCCGACCUGAGAGGGUGAUCGGCCACACUGGAACUGAGACACGGUCCAGACUCCUACGGGAGGCAGCAGUAGGGAAUCUUCCGCAAUGGGCGAAAGCCUGACGGAGCAACGCCGCGUGAGUGAUGAAGGUCUUCGGAUCGUAAAACUCUGUUAUUAGGGAAGAACAUACGUGUAAGUAACUAUGCACGUCUUGACGGUACCUAAUCAGAAAGCCACGGCUAACUACGUGCCAGCAGCCGCGGUAAUACGUAGGUGGCAAGCGUUAUCCGGAAUUAUUGGGCGUAAAGCGCGCGUAGGCGGUUUUUUAAGUCUGAUGUGAAAGCCCACGGCUCAACCGUGGAGGGUCAUUGGAAACUGGAAAACUUGAGUGCAGAAGAGGAAAGUGGAAUUCCAUGUGUAGCGGUGAAAUGCGCAGAGAUAUGGAGGAACACCAGUGGCGAAGGCGACUUUCUGGUCUGUAACUGACGCUGAUGUGCGAAAGCGUGGGGAUCAAACAGGAUUAGAUACCCUGGUAGUCCACGCCGUAAACGAUGAGUGCUAAGUGUUAGGGGGUUUCCGCCCCUUAGUGCUGCAGCUAACGCAUUAAGCACUCCGCCUGGGGAGUACGACCGCAAGGUUGAAACUCAAAGGAAUUGACGGGGACCCGCACAAGCGGUG